rnacentral:rRNA from 1 species
CAGUCGCCGCGGGAAUACGGAGGGGGCUAGCGUUGUUCGGAAUUACUGGGCGUAAAGCGCACGUAGGCGGCUUGGUAAGUUAGAGGUGAAAGCCCGGAGCUCAACUCCGGAAUUGCCUUUAAGACUGCCGAGCUAGCAGGUGAGAGAGGUAAGUGGAAUUCCGAGUGUAGAGGUGAAAUUCGUAGAUAUUCGGAAGAACACCAGUGGCGAAGGCGGCUUACUGGCUCAUACUGGACGCUGAGGUGCGAAAGCGUGGGGAGCAAACAGGAUUAGAUACCCCGGUAGUCCCUGUCUCUUAUAC